rnacentral:lncRNA from 1 species
GGAUUGGAUUUGAAGGGAUUAAGGUAUUCCUAUUUUUCUAUGAAAUCGAAAUAGGAAUAGGAUUCUCCCAACUAAAAAAUUGAAAUGGGAGCCACUUAUUCUCAUUUUGGUUCUAGAGCCCAAUUUUCUCUAACCAAAUAUGCCCUAUGUAGCUUUGACCAUCACUAUCUCUUGAACAUCCAGAGAACAUAAUUUUUUUUAUCUAAUCAAAGGCUACUUACUAAAAGCUAUAAAUUA